rnacentral:rRNA from 1 species
GGUGGAAUGCGCAGAUAUCUGGAGGAACACCGGUGGCGAAUGCGGCCUCCUGGACCAUUCCUGACACUCAGACGCGAAAGCUAGGGUAGCAAACGGGAUUAGAGACCCCGGUAGUCCUAGCCCUAAACGAUGUAGACUAGGCGUCGGAAGUUUAAUCACUUUCGGUGUCCAAGCUAACGCGAUAAGUCUACCGCCUGGGGACUACGGCCGCAAGGUUAAAACUCAAAGGAAUUGACGGGUCCCCGCACAAGCAGCGGAGCGUGUGGUUUAAUUCGUUGCUACACGAAGAACCUUACCUGGGUUUGACAUAGCAGUGGUAGGGAAGCGAAAGCAGACCGACCCUUCGGGGAGCUGUUACAGGUGUUGCAUGGCUGUCGUCAGCUCGUGUCGUGAGAUGUUCGGUUAAGUCCGCUAACGAGCGCAACCCGCGUUGUGUGUUACAAGUGUCACACAAUACCGCCGGUAUUAAGUC